CAUUUACACUGGGGGAGCCAAAAAUUGGUUUGGCUGAGAGUAAGGCCCGUAAAGCCUUUAACCCUUUAAACCUGAUCUGGGUGAUGCCAGCGUAGGGAAGUGCUUCUUUUGACGA
rfam:Bacillus smithii strain DSM 4216, complete genome.